UCGAAGAAACAUUCUCAGUCAAACAGGAAGAUCUGCAGGAACAAACAGACCUGAUGGUGCUGAAAGAAGAGACUCUUCAUCAGAAUGAAAAGGAAGAGAAACAGCAGUUUGAGAAACACCAAGUAAUAAUGACUGAUGAAAAACCCACACUGUCUAAAAAGACUUCAUCACGUGGAAGACCUCGGAAAUCCAAGUCUAUGUGUAAUUACAGCUGUACACGGUGUAGAAAGAGUUUCAGUAAAAAGUCAAACCUUGAUAUUCACAUGAGAGUUCACACUAAAGAGAAACCUUACACCUGCAAACAGUGUGGAAAGAGGUUUGGUUAUAUACAAGGCUUUGAAAACCACAUGAGCAUUCACACUGGAGAGAGGCCGUACACAUGCCAACAGUGUGGAAAAAGCUUCUAUCAUGCAGGAAACUUUGCAGCGCACCAGAGAAUUCACACUGGGCAGAGGAAGUAUACAUGCCAACAUUGUGGAAAAAGCUUCUCUAAAACAGGAAACUUGGCAGUGCACAUGAGAAUUCACACUGGGGAGAAGCCUUACUCUUGCUCUCAGUGUGGAAAGAGUUUUAAGCAAAAUGUCACCCUUAAAAUCCACAUGAGAACACACAAUGAAGAAAGAAUUUUUACCUGCACACAGUGUUGGAAAAGUAUUUCUCAAAAGCACUACCUUGACAUCCACAUGAGGAUCCACACUGGAGAGAAACCUUACACAUGCACAGAGUGUGGUAAAAGUUUCCCAUAUAAAGGCUCACUCAAACACCACAUGAUAAGUCACAGCGGAGAGAAGCCGUUUGCAUGUGCUCAGUGUGGAAAGAGUUUCACAACCAAAAGCAAACUAAAGAUCCACAUGAGGAUCCACAAUAGGGAGAAACUAUUCACAUGCACUCAGUGUGGGAAGAAUUUCGACCAAUCAUCAAACCUUAAUCAACACAUGAGGAUCCACACUGGAGAGAAACCAUUCACAUGCACCCAGUGUGGGAAGAGUUUCAGCAACUCAGCAAACCUUAAUCAACACAUGAGGAUUCACACUGGAGAGAAACCAUUCACAUGUACUCAGUGUGGGAAGAGUUUCAGCCAAUCAUCAUACCUUAAUAUACACAUGAGGAUCCACACUGGAGAGAAACCAUUCACAUGCCCUCAGUGUGGGAAGAGUUUCAGCCAAUCACCAUACCUUAAUCAGCACAUGAGGAUCCACACUGGAGAGAAACCAUUCACAUGCAGUCAGUGUGGGAAGAGUUUCAGCCAAUCAUCAUCCCUUAAUCUACACAUGAGGAUACACACUGGAGAGAAACCAUUCACAUGUACUCAGUGUGGGAAGAGUUUCAGCCAAUCAUCAAACCUUAAUAUACACAUGAGGAACCACACUGGAGAGAAACCAUUCACAUGCCUUCAGUGUGGGAAGAGUUUUAGCCAGUUCAGCAUUCUUAAGAUUCACAUGAUGAUCCACACUGGAGAGAAACCAUUCACAUGCACUUGGUGUGGGAAGGGUUUCAGCCAAUCAUCAAACCAUAAUCGACAUAUGAUGAGCCACACUGGAAAGAAACCAUUCACAUGCACUCAGUGUGGGAAGAGUUUCUGCCAAUCAUCACACCUUAAUGUACACAUGAGGAUCCACACCGGAGAGAAACCAUUCACAUGCACUCAGUGUGGGAAGAGUUUCAGACAAACAUCAUCCCUUAAUCUACACAUGAGGAUUCACACUGGAGAGAAACCAUUCACAUGCACUCUGUGUAGGAAGAGUUUCAGCAUAUCAUCAUCCCUUAAUCUACAUGUGAGGGUCCACACUGGAGAGAAACCAUUCACAUGCACUCAGUGUGGAAAGAGUUUCAGACAAACAUCAUCCCUUAAUCAACACAUGAGGAUCCACACUGGAGAGAAACCAUUCACAUGCACUCUGUGUGGGAAGAGUUUCAGCAGCCCAUCAGACCUUUCUAAACACAUGAGGACCCACACUGGAGAGAAACCAUUCACAUGCAAUCAGUGUAGGAAGAGUUUCAGCAACUCAUCAGACCUUUAUAGACACAUAAAGACCCACAGUGGAGAGAAACCAUUCACAUGCACUCAGUGUGGAAAGAGUUUCAGACAAACAUCAUCCCUUAAUCUUCACAUGAGGAUUCACACUGGAGAGAAACCAUUUACAUGCACUCAGUGUGGGAAGAGUUUCAGCCGCUCUUCACACUUUAACUACCACAUGAAGACCCACACUGGAGAGAAACCAUUCACAUGCACUCAGUGUGGGAAGAGUUUCAGCCAAUCAUCAAACCUUAAUAAACACAUGAAGACCCACACUGGAGAGAAACCAUUCACAUGCACUCAGUGUGGAAAGAGUUUCAGCCAAUCAUCAAACCUUAAUAAACACAUGAGGAUCCACACUGGAGAGAAACCAUUUACUUGCACUCAGUGUAGGAAGACUUUUAACUGCUCAUCACACCUAAAUCAACACAUGAGGAUCCACACUAAAGAGAAACCAUUCACCUGCACUCAGUGUGGAAAGAGUUUUGGAAGAAAAGGCUAUCUUAAGAUUCACAUGAUGAUCCACACUGGAGAGAAACCAUUCACAUGCACUCAGUGUGGGAAGAGUUUUAACUGCUCAUCAAACUUUAAUCUACACAUGAGGAUCCACACUGGAGAGAAACCAUUUACAUGCACUCAGUGUGGGAAGGGUUUCAGCCAAUCAUCAUCACUUAAUCACCACAUGAGGAUCCACACCGGAGAGAAACCAUUCACAUGCACUCAGUGUGGGAAGAGUUUCAGCCGAUCAUCAUCCCUUAAUAUACACACGAGGAUCCACACUGGAGAGAAACCAUUCACAUGCACUCAAUGUGGGAAGAGUUUCAGCCAAUCAUCACAUCUUGAGAAUCACAUGAGGAUCCACACUGGAGAGAAACCAUUCACAUGCACUCAGUGUGGGAAGAGUUUCAACCGAUCAGAACACCUUAAUGACCACAUGAGGAUCCACACCGGAGAGAAACCAUUCACAUGCAUUCAGUGUGGGAAGAGUUUUAACUGCUUAUCAAACCUUAAUAAACACACGAGGAUCCACACUGGAAAGAAACCAUUUACAUGCACUCAGUGUGGGAAUAGUUUCAGCUGCUCAUCAAGCCUUAAUCAACACAUGAUGAUCCACACUGGAGAGAAACCAUUCACUUGCACUCAGUGUGGGAAGAGUUUUAUCCGCUCAUCAUCCCUUAAACUACACAUGAGGAUCCACACUGGAGAGAAACCAUUCACAUGCACUCAGUGUGGCAAGAGUUUCAUCAAAUCAUCAUCCCUUAAACUACACAUGAGGAUCCACACUGGAGAUAAACCAUUUACAUGUACUCAGUGUGGGAAGAGUUUUAGUCAAUCAUCAUCCCUUAAUCACCACAUGAGGAUUCACACUGGAGAGAAACCAUUCACGUGCACUCAAUGUGGAAAGAAUUUCAUCAAAUCAUCAUCCCUUAAUCACCACAUCGGUAUUCACACUGGAGAUAGACCCUUCACAUGCACUCAGUGUGGGAAGAGUUUCAGCUGCUCAUCACACCUUAAUCACCACAUAAGAAUUCACACGGGAGAGAAACCAUUCACAUGCACUCAGUGUGGGAAGAGUUUCAGCUGCUCAUCACACCUUAAUCACCACAUAAGGAUCCACACUGGAGAGAAACCAUUCACAUGCCCUCAGUGUGAAAAGAGUUUUAGCAAAUCAUCAUCUCUUAAUCAGCACAUGAGGAUCCACACUGGAGAGAAACCAUUCUCAUGCACUCAGUGUGAAAAGAGUUUUAACUGCUCAUCAAACCUUAGUAAACACAUGAGGAUCCACACUGGAGAAAAACCAUUCGUAUGCACUCAGUGUGGGAAGAGUUUUAUCAGCUCAACACACCUUAAUCUACACAUGAGGAUCCACACUGGAAAGAAACCAUUCACUUGCACGCAGUGUGGAAAGAGUUUGGCAAGCAAAAGCAAACUUAAGAGUCACAUGAGGAUCCACACUGGAGAGAAACCAUUCACAUGCACUCAGUGUGGGAAGAGUUUCAGCCGAUCAUCAUCCCUUAAUAUACACAUGAUGAUCCACACUGGAGAGAAACCAUUCACAUGCACUCAGUGUGGGAAGAGUUUCAACAAAUCAUUAUCCCUUAAUUUACACAAGAUGAGCCACACAGGAGAGAAACCAUUCACAUGCAAUCAGUGUGGGAAGAGUUUCAGCCAAUCAUCAUCCCUUAAUAUACACAUGAUGAUCCACACUGGAGAGAAACCAUUCACAUGCAAUCAGUGUGGGAAGAGUUUCAGUCAAUCGUCAGACCUUAAUAUACACAUGAUGAUCCACACUGGAGAGAAACCAUUCACAUGCAAUCAGUGUGGGAAGAGUUUCAGUCAAUCGUCAGACCUUAAUGUACACAUGAAGAUCCACACUGACAAGAAUCGUUUUAUCUGCACUCAGUGUGGAAAGAGUUUUAAGAAAAAAAGCAAUCUUAAGAUUCACAUGAUGAUUCACACUGGAGAGAAACCUUUCACAUGCACUCAGUGUGGAAAGAGUUUUAGCCUAUCAUCACACCUUACUCAACACAUGAGGAUCCACACUGGAGAGAAACCAUUCACAUGCACUCAGUGUGGGAAGAGUUUCAGCCAAUCAUCAUCCCUUAAUCACCACAUGAUGAUCCACACUGGAGAGAAACCAUUCACAUGCACUCAGUGUGGGAGAAGUUUCAGCUGCUCAUCAUCCCUUAAUAAACACAUGAGGAUCCACACUGGAGAGAAACCAUUCACAUGCAUUCAGUGUGGGAAGAGUUUCAGGCAGUCAUCAUACCUUAAUAAACACACGAGGAUCCACAGUGGAGAGAAACCUUUCACAUGCACUCAGUGUGGGAAGAGUUUCAGCCAAUCAUCACACCUUAAUAAACACAUGAGGAUCCACAGUGGAGAGAAACCAUUCACAUGCUCUCAGUGUGGGAAGAGUUUCAGCCAAUCAUCAUCCCGUAAUGUACACUUGAGGAUGCACACUGGAGAGAAACCUAACAACAGAAUUUUGCAUGCUCAAACUCUAGUGUGACUGCAGCUUCGGUGUGGGAUGAGUAUCAGCAACUCCUCAAACCUUAAUGAACACAUGAAGAUCCACACUGGUGUGAAAGAGUAUAUGUGCUUGAGUGUGAGAAGACUUUUCUUACAGCUCCAAAAUUGAAAUUGCACCAGAUGAUUCACAUUGGAGAGAUUGUACAAGUGUUCACAAUGUGACAAGAGGUUUCAUCAGUUAACACCUCUGAAAACACAAAAGUGGAUGCACACUUGAGAGAAACUGUACAGAUCUCAUCAGUGUCUACAGAGUUUUGCUCAUUUCUGAAUUAUGUUUGAAAAGGCUGAGUGACGUAUACUGUUUUCCAACACUCCUACACUGCAGUAGGUGGGGUUGUGAGGGUGUUGCGCUCCUCUCAUUUACCGUAAACACAAUAUUGGCGGCUGAAAUAAGAACAGUUUCAUAAACAUCUGGCCAACAGCACCUCUGCAGCUUAAGAUCUCAUUGCAAGUGCGGAUACAUCUGUACUCUACUCUCCAGUGUAUUCAUGUAGCUAGUGUUGUUUUGGAUGAUCUCUGUUUUACUCCCUGAAUAAGAAACAUCACUGGGAGGACACCGCACAUCAAUGAAGAUGGAGCUCCAGGAGAGUUAGUUUGAUGCAUACCAGGGCCUCAAGUUUAGAAAGCCAAUUCAAUUGUCCUGUGUUGCAGCUUUUAUUAAUAAAGUUUCUUUAUUUUUA